rnacentral:lncRNA from 1 species
UCCUCCACUGGCUCUCGCGCGGUUCUCAGCGGCGAUUCACAGCCCCAGCGACGGUGACCGACACGACGAGCAGCUUCUUCCUCGCGGUGUCUGACUCCCUUCGUGCUUGACAGCGUUUGGUGGCAAUGAAGGCAUGGCGGCGACGCUGUGCGGUGGCGGCGCGACGGCGGGCUGAACGUGGUUGGGUGUGGUGGUGCGUCUUCUUCCUCCUCUUCUCGCGGAUCUCUCUCUCUCU